ACAUUUCUUCUGAAUUAUAAAUACCAUUUUAUGACCCCCUCUCCCACCCAUCCCCUCCCCUCUAUUUAUGUGUAAUGUUGGAAGAUUUAAGUUGAAAUCGGGUCUGGUGCAUUGAAUAACACAGAAACCAACUGCCUACAGGAUUUUACCCAACAUCAAAUGCAAGGUUAAAUAAGGUGGUAAAGAAAGAUUCAUUAUCUUGGGGAAUAUGGGUUUUGAAUUAGACGACCUAAAAUGGGGUGGUUUCAAAGGAGAGGCCGCCCUCCGGCGGGGAUGGGAAUACUGAUGGUUAGCAAAUAUGGUAAAAGAAAGUUAUUUUUUGACAUAUGUGAAUAACUUAUAUUUAUGAUGAUGUGUCGAUAACUUAUUUUCAUGGUGAUGUGAGUUUGUUGAAUGUACAUAUGAGAAAAGGUCAGGAGUUUGUAUUCAUAUUUGAGAGAAACAAAGGCAGGCAGUGUGUUCAAAGAAGCCAUCUCUGUCUGUAUUUUCUAUUGGCCAGCGUAGCGUAUCUUUUACUGCUUCCACCCAAUUUUUCAAAGUCAAUGGAAUAAUAUUAUGAUGAUUGAUUUUAGCUUGUUUUAAUAAUUUUCGUGUGUUUCAAGCAGUUUGGUACAUCAUAAUUUUAUUGUGCCAAUGUGAAUCAACGGAGGUGCAAGCAAAGCAAGUGAUAAGCCAAUCGAAAGUUUUCUCUCUGUUAUUAGC
rnacentral:lncRNA from 1 species